UAAAAUUAAGCCUCUAACUCAAUUUUCUGUAUUACUUUAAAACCUUAGUUUUGUUUUUCUUCAUAACAACAAAAGUCCAAUCCUGUAGGUCACACGUAGAACUGAAAUGCAUGUAAAUAUUAUCUCCAUUACCCUUAGAAGAUCUGGCCCAUGCUAAUUGUGGCCUUAUAGAUAGACAGGAAAGUAUGUAAUUGCAUUUGAUGAAAAGCUAGUCAUUUUCAUAAAUGAUUAAGAAAUAUCAUUCAUUAGCAGGUGUAAAUAUAUAAAGAGUAAUGGUGUAAUAUACACCCCAUCAAAGGGUAAUGCUUUCCUAAAUGCCAGAGAUUUUAGUUCCAUAGCCUUUUUUUACAGUUUCUUUAUGUUUUGUAAUAGUUUCCUGAUUGCCAAACAGACGUCUGAAUUCACUAACUCUCUUAUUAAAACUCAGUUUGAUAGGUUCAGACUGCAGCAAAUCAUAAACUAAUCUUCAUUUGUUUUAAAUUAUUCAAGAGGAAAUGAGACCCGGUAGAGUGCUUCUGUCUUGAGCCUGGAAUAAAGGCAAUGAAAAAGCACCAUUUAGUUCAAAAUGAAACACUAUCAAAUAAAGUGUGCUUCUCACUUAUUGUUGCUUAGAUAUUAACAUGUAUCAUGAACAUGGCUAGGUUUAUAUCUGCACAGAUAAACUCCAUUCAACAACAAAAAAUGAUGGGCAUUUCUGUAAAAGUGUCAGAAAAACUAACCUGUUACCACAUAAAAAUACAUGCAGCACUGUGAAUGCUUUAUUUUAAUGAAUUUAUUGCAUUGCUUAUCCCAAGCUGUGAGGCAGACGACAAUGAUUUAUAACCCACAGAGCAGAAGCCCUGAGAGGAUGAUGAAGGACUGUUUCUCCUCAUUAUGCCAGCAGAGCUUCUUUUCAUCUCUUCUCUUACUCUCUGUUCAUUGUUUGCCCUUGGCAUCAUCAGUCAACAGGCAGUACAGUUUACAAAUACUGUUUUGGCUGACAGAAAAUAAAUUGUUUGGUCACUGAUGUAAAAUCUAUCAAAUUCCUACCAAGAAGCAUCUUGAAUCCCCCAUUCAAGCUCUUGUCUGAGACUGAUCCAUAGCUUAGGUAACAUUUUACUUCUAAGAGAUAGAUUACUUCCCUUCUCAGUUGUUACUCAGAGGAAGAUGCAUUUCCUUUAAUCUUUCUGCAGGCAAAGGCUGACCAACUUCUAAGAGCUGUAGGAACUAAGUCAUUUGUCUCUGGAAAGUUGUUGUUGUUGUGUUUUUUGUUUGUUCUUCACAAAACCUGCUAAGAUAUCUCUAUGGAGAAAUAGCAUAGCAGUAUUUGCCAUUUCCAGUAAGCAAAUAUGAAUGACAACCAAUAAGAUAAUAAGUAGCUGGACUUUGCUGUUGAAAAGAAAACACACACAUCAGAGAUGUACUAGGAACAGGUUUGAAAAAAGAAACUAUGUUUUGUGUUUGUCUGCUUUGCAAUACUCACACAAAAUCAUUUAAACUAUAAAGCUGUGUUUGAAUAGCUUUCUGUGAUCCCCGUGCAAAUCAUUUGGCUACAAAUGACUGAAGCUUCUGAGUGGAACCAGAAUGUACCAAUAUUUAGUCUAAGAAAAUAAAUCUGGCUUACAAAUCUGAACAAAACACACUCUGGUACACUCUUCUGUACAUAGUCCAUUUAUGCAAGUGUGGUUGUUACUGCAGUAUGUCUACAGACAGUCUGGAAUGCAGGAGUAAAUAAAAGAAUUUGCAAAGUACAAAGACUGAAGAAGAGGCAUCUUCUAGUGCCAGACAAACCCAAAUGUUAAACUCUUGGGUCAAAGACUUGAAAAAUAUCCAUUAACAGUCAUUACUGAGAACAAUGGACAUUGCAUACUGAGACUGAGAAAAGAGUAAUUUACUCUGUCAGUCUACUAAAUCUAUAUCUUUACAUUUAUUCAAAUAAUUUGAAACACAUUUGAAAUCUUACCUUGCCCUGUUUUUUUCUAUACCUGAAAUUACUCCUGGGAAUGAGUUUGGAGUUAAAUAUGAAAAUAGACCAUUUCUUCGAUGUUCUGACCUAGUCUACAUUCCUGUUAACCAGAUUUACUCUAUGGCCCACAUGGUGGUGACAGCAGAGAUAAAAUCUUCUCCAGAAUAAAAAUGAGGAAUAGAACAAGUAUUUUUUCAGGAGUUUUGUUCUGUCCACAUUUCUUGAAAGUGUGAACAAGUAUUCUUCAUUAAGAACUGGAAUAAAAAUUUGCAUAAAGUAGCCGGGUGUUAAGAGUUUCAAGCCUCUGAAAGUUUUAACCCUCUUGAGUGUGUGUUCGUCGUGUUCCUUUAUCCACGCUAGUAGAGACUGCAGGACCUCCUGAAGGCUGAGGUGACAGGCGUAUCAGAGACCAUUUUCAUAUGUAUCACUAUUCAGUCUUGCCCUGUGUAAACAACAGUGCAUCAUCCCUGAGAACUGAACGCCAUUUCAGACUUCAGAAGACUAAGCUGUGAGGUGCUGAAGGGUCAGCACAAGAAACUGCAGUGCCACCUGAGACCUAACAGGUUAGGAGGGAGAUCCCAAUGCGCAAACAAAUCUGAGGUGGGGAAAAAUUAGAAUAAACUUCCUGACGCCAAGUUUAGCACUAACUUUGAUUCCUUUUGCGAUCAAUGUACAGCAGUCGAGCAUCUAAGUACCAGAGUCUCAAAUACCAGUGAAGAGUUUCACUGUCUGAGUUGUCUGGAAGUUUUAAACCUGCUGUUGUUUCAGAUGAGAUGAGGCUCAGCCCCAACUCGCCCCAAUUACUUCACCUGGUUUGCUUUUCAGAAAUGCAUCAGCAGCCAAUGCUUUUGGUCUAGUCUUAUUUCCUAUUACAACAUGCAUUCACAGAAGGAAAGCCUUGGCAGAUUCUGGUCCCCAGUUCAGGAUAAGAAGCACAUCAUGUGCCGUAGAAAAAAUCUGAGGGAGUUCGUAAUCCUGUUAAGCAACCAAGGAGGGAAGUGUGUUUUAGUUCUGUUAAGUUUUAUUAAGUGCCAUAUAAUAUCUAUCUCAUUCCUUCAUGUUUCGGUCCUUGGAUUGUCAGUGCUGUUACAAGUCUAGCUAUCAAGCUGUAUAAAGUAUUUGUUUCAUCAAACGAAUUUGUGCCUUGGCAGCCUCCUCAAACACUGAUGUUGGUGGAUUUUUAAAUUACUGAUACUUUCAAGACUGGCUGCUGAUGCCCAUUCAAUUUUCUUUUUAUCUUUCUGAGAGCACAGUAAUUUUCAGUGAUUUUCCCUCCUCCCCCCCUCAUUUUGGAGGAAACUAUAAACCGUCCUUCCAAAGGAUACCAGUGAUCGCCGAGGUAACAGAGCAGCGGCGUUGGCGUCUCCUGGGCAAUGGCGGGAGAUUUAAACGGGCGCAAGCGCUGAAGAAGCCCUUGAUCGCCAUGCUUAGCCCUUGAUCGCCGAUUUUAGUAGCUUCGGAGCUGUCCCGGCCAGAACCGCAGCGACUGAUAACGAGGUACAGGUGUGUUUUGGUCGGCUCCUUCAUCCAGAGAACCCUGAGAUUAACAGAGCAGCCCGGCGGGUCUCGUGAGGGCGGUUGACGCGGCUGACGUGGCGUGGGCGUUGCCUGGGCAACGGCUCUGCAUCCACACAGCCCCUGCCUGGGAAAAGCAACGAUGCAUCGCUGCCCAUCAGAGACGGAGAGGAGGAGUCAAGGCUAUUCUUACAAAAUCAAACUAAGCUUGAAAAUCAUCUGUUAACAGGAUGACAAAGAACUGGAAGAUUUUCAGAUGGUUCAUGAGAAACACAGCAGGAGCAACGGUAAAACAUUAAUUUGUUCAUUUCAAGAAUCUGCUGCUCUGCUGAUAGUGUCACAAGCCAUACUUGCAGUUGAACAGGUAGAAGGAGAAGUGCUGAGAUGUUCGUGUUCAAAUUUUCUCUAAGUUCUGUAUAAUUCCAGCCCUAGUUCAAAAAUGUUUAAAUUUUAAACAUGCUUCUUAGUAAAAUUUUAAUUAUGUUGCACUCUUUCAUGAAUGACAAAUCUUCUGUCCAGUGAAAUCAAAACCAAUCUGAAUGCCACACACAAAGUAAUAGAUAAAUGCAAGAUGAUUACUCUUUAUGGAUUUGUUCUUAACUCAGUCAUCAAUAGAGUUUAAACCAUAUAGAUUGUUUGUAUGUACUGUAACUUCUAAUAUUAGAUACUCAUUUGUAUAUCUGCAAUGCUUUGCAGCAUAAAAAUUACCAAAAUAUAGAUGGCCUCCAACCUUUACAUCCCUCACAAGACCUUCUCUGUUAAAAAACAGCAGAUCCAGGAUUGUGCUUCCCUUUGUUGGCUCCUUCUCCACCUAUGUCAGGAAGUUAUCUCCCACACACUCUAGGACUGCUCCCCAUCUGCUGUUGCAUUCAACCAACUCUCACAGGGCACAACAUUGGCACUGGCACAGCACUGUGCCAAAUCUGGGAAGAACACAAAGGGCUUAGAGGAGUUCCUGGCAAUGGGAGGUACGUUUCCAAGGCCUCAUGGGCACCACGAGGUCAGGAAUGCUCCUUUCAGCCAUGGGAAUAAAAGGCAUUCUACAAGGAUGUGUGCACAAACUCUGGAAAGGAAGGAGCACUCCUCCUCCUGCUGUACUAUAGGGCACUACUCCUCCCUCUCAGCACCUCCUGUCUGCCUCCAGGUGGAGAUGGGUGAAAGGCAAUGGCUGUGAUUUUUAUGAUCACAUGGCCUAAGUACCAGUGGGAACAAAUUUAAGAACAACUCAUUGCUUUCUGCAUUACAUGGAUGGUGGAAGGCAGCAGCCCCAUCCCAGGCCAGAACCAGCCCGGCUAACAAACAUGGUCAUGUAAACAGGGGCAGCCACAAGUUCUAAGAACCACAAUGCAGCUGAAACAGCCAUGUCUAAAGAGAACAGGGCUGGAGGUGGAUGGGUUCCAGAGCAGAUUUGGUGUCACAGCAGGACAGAAUGCUGAUCACAAGGGCAGAGACAGUCAGAGUUCUCUGCCCAGUAACCAAGGGAGUGAAGGCUGUGGUGGUCAGGAGCAGCCGAUGGGAAUGGAUGCCAGCUAAAACUCCUUUCCCACGCAGACACACAGAGAGAUAGGGAAACAGAAAGAUGGCAACAAGGACCAGAUGAUCUCAGAAUGAGCCUGAAAUGGCCAUGGAAACCAAAUCCAGACCAGCAACCCGUUUGUCAUCCUGAUACACGUGAAUCUUACCAGUGCAGCUUCCACUAAUAGCCUUUGUCUGGACCUCACCUGGCAUCGACUGGAGCAUGACUGCAUCAUGCCAUUCGUGUAUAGGCAGCCUCAGGAUCCGUACUGCAUUGACAUUGGCAGCUCCCUAUCUCCUUCUUGCUACAGACUUUACCAUGGACCUACACGCAGACAGAUUUUCUCCACAGAUAUUGGAUGCUGCACAUCAUUCACUUUAUUACAGAGUCAGGACCUUCAGUACUGCACAGAUCAGUGCCUCGAGGAACCAUAUGGAUUGUUUGUAUUGGAACUCUGAAUAUGAGAAUGGAGCAAGAUGGAUGGAUAGCUUUAAUUCAGAAAUACCAGAAGCACCACAUCCAGAAGAGAAGGAAGCAGCAUAACUGAUCAUGAUCCUGAGACCAGGGAUGGAAGUUUAGGAGCAAUGAAGACUUUCAGCCUUUCGGCCUCAACCCCCAGAUGACCACCAAGAAGCUAUCACAGAAUUAAAGAAAAAUUGAAAACCUUCCAAAUAAACUUUCUGAUUCAUUAGACCCAUGGUGCUUCUUCUAUCUCAUGAUAUCCAUACAAUGAACCUUUGCAGAGGGUGUUUCUUAUUGUCGUAAUCUCCUUGUAUUUAUGCACCUGUAUAUCACAGAAUCAUAGAGUGGUUCAGGUAGGAAGGGACCUUGAAGCUCACCCAGUCCCAACCCCAUGCCUAUAGCCAAGGACACCUCCCUAUAGCCCAGGUUGCCCACAGUGCCAUCCAGCCUGGCCUUGAUUGCUUCCAAUGGGGCACUGUCUUGCUCCAAUUUAUAGGAAGGAGAGGAGGUUGUUUUAAUAAAUGUACACCUGAUGGUGAGAUUAAGACACAAUGGGUCAAAUGUUAGCCCAACCAGUUUAUCACAAAUCCUAGUUGCUUAGUCUAGGCUUUUUCAGGUUUGGACAGGAACAUGGGCUAUUUUCCAUAUACCCUGGGCAAUCUGUUUAACAACUUUACCAUUGUCAUCAAUCUUUAGACAACAAUUAGAGUUAUUCAAUUUGCCACAAACACCCUGUUCUUCAGUUAAUAACUAAUCAAGAACCGUGUGAUGCUGGAGUAUUGCUGUUCACGUCUGUGUGCCUUGAUCUGCAAGAAGGUCAAGGGCAUAAGCCGUUUCAUUAGCAAUGAUUUCAAGGACUGCUUGUAAUCUGAUAAUAUGGUUAAGGUUAUAUGGGUUCUCGAGCAUCAUUAAUCAUUUCCCUGGGAUUCCAGGGAGCUGGCCCAUACUGUCUGAUUAUUCCCUGUGGGGGGCCAAUUAUCUUUGCCCCAGGUCUGGCCGCUACCACUUGUUGUGGAGGUGUCAACAGACCUUUGUUGUCAUUUGAGAUCAUCAUACACCUUGAUAUCUAAUUUGUUACCAUCAUUCCCUGGGAGCAGAAAGAACAGUGGACAGAUUACCCCCACAUAACAUACCCCAGUCCAACUUGCCAGUAGUUGUUUGUAUGUAUAAUGGCCACAAAUCCAGUAAUGUCCUUUUAGUGCUACUGAUCCAUUCUCAAAAGGUCUAUCCCAUUCAUCAGCCAGUUUACUUACAUGUUCCUUAGCAUUAUAGUAUGUGGUGUUUUGAGGUCCAGAAGGCUGUCCUGCCAUGUUACAGUUCCAGCCAUGACCAGUAUCACUCUCAUUCCUGCACCACUUACACCUCCAAGCUCCAGUGUCAGGUCUCCAGGCGCAUUUCAUACCUCCUUUAGUAAAGCUUUAGUAAACAGGGUGUUGUUGGUGGAGGACCAGAAGUGAGUGAACCCUUGUCCCACUCCCUACUGACUGUAUCACCCCCAUUGAUAGACAGUGGGGCUUUCCAGUAGGGGUCCCGUUUCAUAAGCAAUGUUAUCAUAAACCCAGGUGCAAUUGCUGAUCCCAACACAAAUACCACCUAGCUGAGCAGAAAUUUGCAUUCCUGUAUCUACCAGCAAUGUCAGUGGAACUAAAUUAGGUUCAACAGUGCAUUACAGGUCAUCUCCUUUUGUUGUGAGCUUUCUUCCUGUUCUCCCAGGGAACCUCAGCUUUUAUUUCAUUCAUAGAGUGACAGAAAAUCUUCUCUUCCCAUGAAGUUUUGUUUCCAUAGCUAAGGACUUGUUGUUCCCCAUCCAGCUUCAAGAUGCAUCUGAAAACGGCCUGUCUGCUAUGGUCAUUAAUUUAUAGAACAAUAGAACAAGUGUAAUGACUACAAAUACCAUAACUACCCAAGGAAUUGUCCUGAAGUCAACAGUUUGACUGAUGAGAUAAGGAGAUGAGAUCUCCAUCUUCAAAGAAGCAGAGUCAAGGCCUAGACCUGCUGAAGUGUCAACUAUGCGUGUUAACCUACUAUGUAUUAUUUCAGAAGAAUGAAAGAAUGCUCCUGGAUAUUAUACUGUAUAGACUUCUGUUAGU